rnacentral:lncRNA from 1 species
CAGGACGGUAAAGGUGAACAAGUCUCCGGGGAAGGAAGAUGCCUAUAUUUACGAUAAACACGUUCUUUUAAGAGUUUACGUUGUCUAGUUUUCAACCAUCACCACCCUGAAGAAGUUACGAAAAAGUUAACUUCAUUUUGACGUUGUCUUUCUCAAGGGCUGCGUUUUCAAUCCCGUCCCAUCCUGUACCCAGGCACUGUUUUUCCAGGAUUCACCAUCAAAAGAUGGAUGACUUAAGACUCUUUUAAGACUCAAUUCUUGCAGGGGCGCUUUUUAUGAUCCUCAGCCCACAACCCUCAGAGUGCUUCAGGCCGUCCUGCACACAUAAUCGCCUACUAUGUAUUCCUCACCCGUUACACAAGGUUACUUAUUUCAGCUACUUUGCAGUUGAGAAGUUAAUAGGCACAUACAUGAUUAGUUUCUGGGAGCUUGAGGUGUAUCUUUAUUUCUUAUUCUGAAAAACAGGAGAGGGAGCUCUUUGGAUAGUGCUCCUCACCGAGAAAUCGAGAAAGGGAAACCAGGCAGAGAAAAACAAAUGGCAGCCAAGCCAAUCCAAAUCAGGAAAGGUGAGGCAAAUCGGCCCACAGGAAUGCUUUCUCUAGUGAGUUCCUUUGGUUCUAAGGAAGGUGGAAAGGAGUGUGUGGUGGGAAGCAGAAAUCACUUCAGUGCUAUAGGUAGGAUUCCUACAGAGAAGGAGAAAUUACCUCCCCCUAGAGAUAGAAUGAUGGCUUGAAAGAGAGCUUUUAACACGUUCGAUUUUUACAUGGGGAACCAUCUCCCCCUAUCCUCCAACUCUGGUUUUUGUCUGCAGGGAUACUGAACACCUAGUUUCUAUUCAGUCUAGUGCUUCUUUUUCUAGGUCACUUCUGGAUGUGAUACUGCAUUUAUAGUAACACUUUCUGCUCCCCCUUGAUCUUGUAACCUGUGGUGCAUUUGAUAACUUUAUUAAAUUAGAAAAAUUAUAUUUCCCACUUCUGAAAUCCAAACCACCACACAAAUAGAAUUAGAGUUUGCAUGCGGAAUGAAUAUUUUAUUACUAGAUUAUAAAAAUAAAAUACAAAAUAAUUUUAAAACAGAACUUAAAACACUGUACAAAGCUUUAAUAUGAUACAAAUGGGAAAAUUAAAUAAAUAAUUACACUUUUAUGUACAGAUGGCCUAUACAAAAGCACUCCAUGUUUCUGCCAAUACUCUAUGUCCUUGGUUGCCUGAGCAAAAAUGCAUAAAGAGGGCUACUUGAGGGUAAAGGGACACAAUACAGUACCUUUGGAGGUAUUUCAAAGAACAGUUUCUCAUCACUCUGUGUCAUGGAGAAGAAAGGAAGAAAACUGUGGAAUUGUUAAAGUUCUCUAUUCUAACUUACUGGUUUUGCUUGACAAAAUUCCUCUGAUUCGUGGGUCCAUUUGAUUUAACAGCUGCCAAGAGUUAAUCUUUCAAGAUUUAGAUCUAAUUCAAAACUAGAUGUUUCCCAACUAUCUCUUUUUUCCUAAAAGCUGUGAACUUGUAAGUAAAUAACUUGGUUAUUUUAGGAAAGGAUCAGGAAGGGGUCAGGAACUGUGAACUGAGGGAACUCAAGCCCAGGUCAUGUGUUCUUUUCUUUAUUCAGUUCACCAUUCCAGUUUCAGAGUCCCAAGUGGUACAGUGUUAUAUUUCCUUUAGCUUUCUAUCUCUGUUUUUCUGAGUGCUUUUUACUUUAGUAAACUAACUGGUCACUAGUUUAAAAAGAAAAAAAAUCCCAAGGGCUUUCCCCUCCCUGGGUUGAUCCCUAAAAUAAAUCACAUUCAAGCUCUGGUAGAUUUGUUUAUCCCUUGUGGAUCAGUGGAGAACACCCUGACAGACUCCAGGUAUGGUUGAACGCUGCGCAUGAAUUUUUUUUUUAAGGAUUUAAACCUUGUAUUUCAAGGGGGGAAGAAAGCAACAUAUGGCAAGCGCAGUCUAUAUAAAAAUUUGGUUUACCCAGUACUUUUAACUGGGAAAGUUAAUACUUAUGUACACAAUAUGAAACAAUAUUAAACUACUUUGAAAAGAGAAAAUUUCCUAUCAUUAGUGUGUAAAAUAAUAUAUCAUCAGCAAAUUCUCUAGUUACAGGGACUCAAAGGUCUGCUUUACUGAAUCCUGUUCUCUAGGUCAAGGAACCCAGAAUUCCUGGCCCAGGGUAUCUGAGAGACAUGUCAAUAUCAUCAGUGAUACAUCCUCUGCCCAUACUAUCACUUCAAUUAAAGAGGCAGAUUCUGUUCAGUUUUCACAGGGUAAUGAAGAAAAAGGCUUCACUUCCUUUACAUGUCUCCUUAAAACCAAGGAUCUCCAGCAAAAUCUAAGGAAAUAUUCAAGUCAUUACUGAGUAAAGGUUUCUACUUGGCUAUUCAGUAUCUUGAGGUUGUGUAUCACCUCAAGGUUACUUUGAUCUUAUUACAUUCUUUAAUUUUCUGGUCCAAAUUUGCUUAAGGGGGAUAAUUAAACAUCUAGUUUAUGUUUUAAAAGUUGGAGCAGAUAAUCACAGCUGAAUUAGAAAAUGUAUGGAUGGGUCAAGACUUUAAUAGCAUCAUUUCAUGUCCAGCCAGGGAUCUGAGAUAUGCAGCACCCAAACUCCCCUUUAAUUGGGAUCCUUGUCCCAUGUCGGGGAGUUACUAAGAACUAUAGGAAUUCCGCAUUUAUCUCCUGCAGUUCUCUCUAGCAAUGUUGGUAAAUAUCAACAUGUGAGGACUACCAUAGUGGUUACAUGCCUUAAUCCUGUAAUACUUUUUGUAUUAGAAGAUAGAUAAGUAACUAUUCUGCAAAUAGUUACUAUUGAUUGGUUCUGUAGACAACUAUUCUGCAACAGAACCAAACUCAAAAAAAUUAAAGUACAGUUGUCAUCAACCAUUCUAUCUCCUUAGUGAUACAGGUGCUGAAAUAGUCCUCCCUUUAGGCAAAGUCCCAACACAUAAACAGAAAUGGACAGAUUUUAAAAGAGUAAAUGCAAAUAACUUAAUCCCAAAACACAUCAACAUGACAGAAGAAACAAACGGUUCCCUAACAUAUGCCACAUUUUGAUAGCUAUAAAGGAAUGAAAAAAGGUUUAAAAUGGGAAAAUUUUGAUCUUUAAGACGAAAUCUAGACUUAUCUACAAAUAAAUGUAUUUUCAAA